rnacentral:lncRNA from 1 species
GCGGAGAGCCUCUGUGACACAGAGAAGAGCAGUCUCAGUUGAAUGCCCAGUCUUGAAACCUGACUGAUUAGGAUCAAGAAGGUCAUUCUGAGAGAGAUAGCAGGAGAGCUGGCCAAGGACGGCACGUUCAAGAGUUUUGGAGAGAAAAGAAAGAAGGGAUACUGGUCUGUAGUUGUUGACAUCGGAGGGAUCGAGUGUAGGUUUUUUCAGAAGGGGUGCAACUCUCGCUCUCUUGAAGACGGAAGGGACGUAGCCAGCGGUCAAGGAUGAGUUGAUGAGCGAGGUGAGGUAGGGGAGAAGGUCUCCGGAAAUGGUCUGGAGAAGAGAGGAGGGGAUAGGGUCAAGUGGGCAGGUUGUUGGGCGGCCGGCCGUCACAAGACGCG